AUUGAACGCUGGCGGCAGGCCUAACACAUGCAAGUCGAGCGGAGCGGCGGACGGGUGAGUAAUGCCUAGGAAUCUGCCUGGUCGUGGGGGAUAACGUCCGGAAACGGGCGCUGAUACCGCAUCCUCUCAGAUGCGCCUAGGUCGGAUUAGCUAGUUGGUGGGGUAAAGGCCUACCAAGGCGACGAUCCGUAACUGGUCUGAGAGGAUGAUCAGUCAAACUGGAACUGGGACACGGUCCAGACUCCUACGGGAGGCAGCAGUGGGGAAUAUUGGACAAUGGGCGAAAGCCUGAUCCAGCCAUGCCGCGUGUGUGAAGAAGGUCUUCGGAUUGUAAAGCACUUUAAGUUGGGAGGCGUUACCAACAGAAUAAGCACCGGCUAACUACGUGCCAGCAGCCGCGGUAAUAC
rnacentral:rRNA from 1 species